GACGUAUCAACCGAGGUUUGCUUUAAAUAGUUUGCCUUAUAAAUGCAGAUCAUAUAAUUCCUCUACUUCUGAUACCUGUAUUGUUCUCCACGGGAGCUCUGAAGGAAAUUUAUAUAAAAAGAUGUUUCGUUUGAAGUCCAAGGUCCUGAAUAUUUUAAUAUCUCUAGUAAUACUGGGCUUUCUUAUCACAGAAACUGAAGGGUUUUGUAUGGCCCCUUUCUGCAACCAGAUUUCUUUCUUGGGGCCUAUAUGUUGCAAUUUUAACAGCGAUUGCUGCAGUUCUGCAUCAUUAGGAGACAACCCGAAUUGCAUAAAGGUCUCAGUUGCAAACAAUUGAAAUAUAUCCUCAUCCUGUAAAGUUCUCAUUCUCAGUUAUUACUGCACAUCAUCCAGAAAUCAAAUGAGUACAGUUUUAAAUCUACAGAUUGCGAAACAGAGCAGCGAAAAAAAGGAGGAAAAUAAAGGCUCUUCUUUUAUGCUAUUCCGAUAAAUCUGUAUAUAUAUAUAUAUAUAUAUAUAUAUAAUGCUUCUUAUUGAAUUUGUUACAUUUUAAUUAUAAAUAAGAUGAAUAGCACAUAAAAAUGCAUUAUUUAAAUAUGUUUUUCUAUGAAAAUAUAUAUACUUUGUAAGUACAAAUAUGGAUGUUAAUAUUUUGAU